UUAGUUUUACAUAAUCUACUUUACAUGUCUUGGGGAUGGUCUAGUCUGUACCAGUAUCAAUAUCUCUCUGACUUUUUGGAAUGACAGAAUGGUUGGGGUUGGAAGAACCUCUGAAGGUCAUCUGGCCAAACUCCUAUGCUCAAACAGAGGUACCUAAGGCAAGUUUUCAAGGACUAUAUCCAGGUGGAUUUUGAAGAUCAUGUCAUGAGUAAACUUGCUUGAGUGCACCCUCAGCAAUUUUGGAGAUGAUAUCAAGCUGUGGGCUGUAAUUGACACACCAGAGGAACAGGAUGCCAUUCAGAGGGACCUAGACAGGCUUGAGCAAUGAGCCCAGGUGAACCUUGUUGAGAGUCAACAAAUCAAGUAACAUCUUGCACCUGGAGUCAAGGCAGCUCACAUUAUCUAUACAAAGUGGGAGAUGAAAGAUUUCAGCAGCCCUGCUGAAACAGACUUGGGGGUACUGGUGGAUGGAAAGGUGGGUGUGAGCUCCUAUCCCUGGAGACUUUCAAGUGAGGCUGGACCAGGCCCUGGGCAACAUGAUCUUGCGGUGCAUGUCCUUGUUCAUUGCAGGGGAGUUGACCUAGAUUGCUCUCAGGGGUUCCUUUCAACUCUUAGGAUUCUAUGAUGUCAUGGUUCUACAAAGGAGAUUCCAAUGUCUCUUCAACUGUCCUGUGCUCUGUCAUCUGUACAAAAUAAUUACUCUAAAAUAUUGAUAUAAACCCUGAAACGUUGAUGACAUCUGGGAAAAGUGGCUGACACACUGGAAGGCUGUGCUAUCAUUCAACAAGACCUAGGCAGACUGGAGCAUUGGGCAGGCAGUGUGUUAUGAUGGUGUGAGGACAGUCAAAUGUUGAAACAAGCUGCACUGUCCUUGGAGAUAUUCAAAACCUACCUUGUCAUAGCCUUCGGCACUGUGGCUGAUCCUACUUGGAUAAAUGAGGUGAACUAGAUGACAAAAAAUAAAAAACCAAAAAUCUCCCUUCAUCUGCCUAGCUUAUCUCAGUCAAUUAUUUUAAUGUCCUGUAAAGCAAGCAAUAGAAUUAAACUGGUCAAAGUAGAACUAGAGAAUACUAAAUCAAUGGCUUUUUUUAUUGCUGAAAUUGUUUCAAGCUACAGGGUCAUACGUGUAUA